CUAGAAAGCAUCCAGAGAACCUGCCUCCACCGCCCUCUGAGGCAGAGAAUUCCACAGACUCACAACUCUCUGUGUGAAAAAGUGUUUCAUCGUCUCCGUUCUAAAUGGCUUACUCCUUAUUCUUAAACUGUGUGUGGCCCCUGGUUCUGGACUCCCCCAACAUCGGGAACAUGUUUCCUGC